rnacentral:tRNA from 1 species
GGGGAUUUAGCUCAGCAGAAUGAGCACCUGCCUUGUAAGCAGGCGGUGGUGAGUUCGAUCCCUG